rnacentral:rRNA from 1 species
GACGAACGCUGGCGGCGUGCUUAACACAUGCAAGUCGAACGGAAAGGCCCUGCUUUUGUGGGGUGCUCGAGUGGCGAACGGGUGAGUAACACGUGAGUGACCUGCCCUUGACUUUGGGAUAACUUCAGGAAACUGGGGCUAAUACCGGAUAGGAGCUCCUGCUGCAUGGUGGGGGUUGGAAAGUUUCGGCGGUUGGGGAUGGACUCGCGGCUUAUCAGCUUGUUGGUGGGGUAGUGGCUUACCAAGGCUUUGACGGGUAGCCGGCCUGAGAGGGUGACCGGCCACAUUGGGACUGAGAUACGGACCAGACUCCUACGGGAGGCAGCAGUGGGGAAUAUUGCACAAUGGGCGGAAGCCUGAUGCAGCAACGCCGCGUGCGGGAUAACGGCCUUCGGGUUGUAAACCGCUUUCGCCUGUGACGAAGCGUGAGUGACGGUAAUGGGUAAAGAAGCACCGGCUAACUACGUG